rnacentral:misc_RNA from 1 species
GAACGCACCUUGCGCUCCCUGGUAUUCCGGGGAGCACGCCUGUUCGAGUGUCGUGAAACUCUCAAGCUGGAUGCUUUAUUGUCAUCUCAGUUUGGUUUUGGACUCUGCCGUCUCCUCUUUUGGAACGGCUGGUCUUAAAAGUAUUAGCUGGCCCUUGUUGUGGGAUUGGUUCUACUCAGCGUGAUAAUAAUCAUGACCGUUGAGGACAUCUUUCGGGAUGGCCAAAUCUGCCUUGGACUGCUUCUAAUUUGCAUGGGUCGUUAGGCUUGCCUAGCUUCCUGUCCACUUUUCAACCUUUGACCUCGAAUCAGGCGGGACUACCCGCUGAACUUAAG